rnacentral:rRNA from 1 species
CCUACGGGUGGCUGCAGUAGGGAAUAUUGCUCAAUGGGGGAAACCCUGAAGCAGCAACGCCGCGUGGGGGAAGACGGUUUUCGGAUUUUUAACCCCUUUUGUUAGGGGAGCUAAUGACGGUAUCUAACGCAUAAGCACCGGAUUACUCCGUACCAGCAGCCGCCGUCAUACGGAGGGUGCAGACGUUACUUGGAAUCACUGGGCGUAAAGCGUGCGUAGGCGGGAUAGUAAGUGCGAGGUGAAAUUCUAGGGGUUAACCCUAGAACUGCAUUUGAAACAGUUAUUCUAGAGUAUGGGAGAGGUAGGCGGAAUUCGUGGUGUAGGGGUAAAAUGCGUAGAUAUCAAGAGGAACACUCAUUGCGAAGGCGACCUGCUAGAACAUAACUGACGCUGAUGCGCGAAAGCGUGGGGAGCAAACAGGAUUAGAUACCCUGGUAGUC